CUUCUUUUUAUUCAUAUGUUACUACCAUGUAAUCUGACUGCUGCUGAAACAUCAUGCUAUGAAAGCUAUAAAUAUGGCAAAAUUGGGAAAUGCUGUAAAAAUCAUUACUUAAUAAACAAUACUUGUAAAGUGUGUCCUUCCGGAUGUCCUGAGUGUAAUUGUUAUCAAUUCUGUGAGGGAUUGGCGUACAGAUCUGGAUGUGAUGCUGCCUGUUCUUGUCCAGACUGUAAACUUAUGUUUGACUGUAAGCAA